UACAGAGGUCUCAAGCGUUGUUCGGAUUCAUUGGGCGUAAAGGGCGCGUAGGCGGCGGGGUAAGUCGGGUGUGAAAUCUCAGAGCUCAACUCUGAAACUGCACUCGAUACUGCUCUGCUUGAGGACUGGAGAGGAGACUGGAAUUCGCGGUGUAGCAGUGAAAUGCGUAGAUAUCGUGAGGAAGACCAGUGGCGAAGGCGGGUCUCUGGGCAGUUCCUGACGCUGAGGCGCGAAGGCCAGGGGAGCAAACGGG
rnacentral:rRNA from 1 species